GUUGGGUAGGGGAGCGUUCUGUAAGCCUGCGAAGGUGGCCUGUGAGGGUUGCUGGAGGUAUCAGAAGUGCGAAUGCUGACAUAAGUAACGAUAAAGCGGGUGAAAAGCCCGCUCGCCGGAAGACCAAGGGUUCCUGUCCAACGUUAAUCGGGGCAGGGUGAGUCGACCCCUAAGGCGAGGCCGAAAGGCGUAGUCGAUGGGAAACGGGUUAAUAUUCCC
rnacentral:rRNA from 2 species